rnacentral:precursor_RNA from 14 species
UCUCCAAUCAACUGCUUGAUGUUCACUUUAAGGUGGCUGGACAGCUUGGUGUGUAAACAGAAUAUCAUCAAGCAGUCCAUCCAUCCUUGCAGUUAACAUUCAUUUCUACAAACUGAUAG